GGCAGUUUGGUGGAAAUGGUAGACACGCGACACUCAAAAUGUCGUGAGGGUGACCUCGUGUCAGUUCGAGUCUGACAACUGCUA
rnacentral:tRNA from 1 species